CUAGCGAGUUAGCUAACGCCAUGCUUUUUUUUUUUUUUUAACAGGAAACUACUGUUCGCGGUUUGAUAUUCCAAAGUUGUACAGACUCAUGAGCUGGCACAAUAGCCAUGGACAAGUGGCGGGCAAAAUGCGAAUAGUCAUCCACAAAAAGUCGACAAUCUCUGGGGAAACAAUAGGGGAAAUGAACAGCCGGGUAAUGAUACGUGUCCCACCGUCAAGAGACAUUUUGCUUAGGGGAAGGAGUAGUUUGAAGGAGAUGUUAACUGACCAAAAUUGUAACCCGAGAUGGAUCACUGACUGGAUGAGCCUGGAAGAAGAUACCUUACCUCCAUGACUAUCUGUUGGUUUCCCUAUGGACUGGACUCCCACUUCAUCUAUGUAACAAUACAUUUAACAAAUUAACUUACCAAUUCAAUAACUGUACCCACUUGACAUCCAUUGCAGCCGGUCUUCCUGGAAGGAGGAUUGCUACAUGUGCGAUCCCUUCUCAAGGUUUCUUUUUACUAUCUGGAGUUUUUUUUUUCAGUUUUUCUUUGCCUGGAUGUGGGUUUAGAUCAGCAGAUGUCGUGAGUUUGUGAAUCCCUUUGAGGCGUCUGUAAUAAAGGGCUAUACGAAUAAAACUUGAUAGAGAU